GGUGUGCGAUAGACUUACACCUCCACGUGGUGCACUCUGGGCAACGUAUGUUCAUACGGCAAAAAAGUAUAU
rnacentral:ribozyme from 1 species